rnacentral:rRNA from 1 species
UACAGGGGGGGCAAGCGUUGUUCGGAAUUACUGGGCGUAAAGGGUCUGUAGGUGGCCAACUAAGUCAGACGUGAAAUCCCUCAGCUUAACUGGGGAACUGCGUCUGAUACUGGAUGGCUCGAGUGCAGGAGAGGAAUGCGGAAUUCCAGGUGUAGCGGUGAAAUGCGUAGAUAUCUGGAGGAACACCGGUGGCGAAGGCGGCAUUCUGGACUGUAACUGACACUGAGAGACGAAAGCCAGGGGAGCAAACGGG